rnacentral:misc_RNA from 1 species
AUCUUAUAAUUUACUUAGAUUUAAGUAAUAAAAAAAUUUUUUUUUUUUUGUUUCAAAGUGUGGGUUUUAAAUACGUGCGCGAAAGAAAGAUUUUUCCUUUCGCGCGGAAUAUUAAUGAUCCUUCCGCAGGUUCACCUACGGAAA